rnacentral:rRNA from 1 species
UACGUAGGGGGCAAGCGUUGUCCGGAUUUAUUGGGCGUAAAGAGCGUGUAGGCGGCCAAGCAGGUCCGCUGUGAAAACUCGAGGCUCAACCUCGAGACGUCGGUGGAAACCGUUUGGCUAGAGUCCGGAAGAGGAGAGUGGAAUUCCCGGUGUAGCGGUGAAAUGCGCAGAUAUCGGGAAGAACACCCGUGGCGAAGGCGGCUCUCUGGGCCGAUACUGACGCUGAGGAGCGAAAGCGUGGGGAGCGAACAGG